rnacentral:rRNA from 1 species
AUUUUAGCGGCGGACGGGUGAGUAACGUGUGGGUAACCUGCCUUAUACUGUGGAAUAAUCAGUGAGAAAUGCGUGACUAAUACCGCAUGUCAUCCUUUUAUCGCAUGAUGAGAGGAGAAAAGGAUUUAUUCGGUNGAGUAAGAUGGACCCGCAUCUGAUUAGCUAGUUGGUGAGAUAAUAGCUC